GGGGGCGGGGCCGGCAGGCGCGAGGCGGGGGCUCGGCGCAGGCGCAGAGGCGCGCGGGGUGGUCGCGCGGGAGCCGGUAGCGGGGAGGGCGACGACGGGACGACGGCAGGAGGGCGGUACUUCCGGUCCCGCACUUCCGGCUCUGGUGCCGCGGCGGACGGUGUGGCAGCGCCGCUCGGCCCGCUCCGCUCCGCGCCCGCCCCGCCGCCGCCGCGCCCCGCCACCCCACCCCACCCCCCUUCCCCAUGCAGCGCCGUGACGACUCUGCCGCCCGCCUGGGCCGGGGGCCGGGCCCCGGCGGCGCCCGGCAAGGAGGGCCCCCGCCGCGGCGGCCUCCCCGUGGCGGGGGGGGGCGCGGGGCCGCCGGCGGGGCACAGCCGCCGCCGCUCCUGCCGCCCAGCGCCACGGCCGCCGCUUCGGCCGGUCAAGCCUCCGCCGCCGCCCCUACCCCGCUGCUACCGGGGGCCGCUGCCAAGAUGGAGCCCGAGAACAAGUACCUGCCCGAGCUGAUGGCCGAGAAGGACAGCCUCGACCCGUCCUUCACGCACGCCAUGCAGCUCCUCACAGCAGAAAUUGAAAAAAUUCAGAAGGGUGAAACAACAAAGAAGGAUGAGGAAGAGAACUACCUGGAUUUAUUUUCCCACAAGAAUAUGAAACUGAAAGAACGAGUUCUGAUACCUGUCAAACAGUACCCCAAGUUCAACUUUGUUGGAAAGAUUUUGGGACCUCAAGGCAACACUAUCAAGAGACUUCAGGAAGAAACUGGUGCCAAGAUAUCUGUGCUUGGAAAGGGUUCGAUGCGAGACAAAGCAAAGGAGGAAGAACUGCGUAAAGGGGGAGAUCCUAAAUAUGCUCAUCUAAAUAUGGAUUUGCAUGUCUUCAUUGAAGUUUUUGGACCCCCUUGUGAAGCGUAUGCUCUGAUGGCUCACGCCAUGGAAGAAGUCAAGAAGUUCCUUGUUCCAGAUAUGAUGGAUGAUAUCUGUCAGGAGCAAUUCUUGGAGCUCUCCUAUCUGAACGGUGUGCCAGAGCCAACUCGUGGCCGAGGAGUCCCUGUGCGGGGAAGGGGAGCAGCUCCACCGCCGCCUCCACCUGUUCCAAGGGGCCGUGGUGUUGGUCCUCCCCCUCCUCCUCCUCGGGGGGCCCUCGUGCGAGGAGCCCCGGUGCGGGGUGCCAUUGCCAGGGGAGCUGCUGUAGCCCGCGGAGUACCUCCUCCCCCAGCAGUACGGGGGGCUCCUGCACCCAGAGCGCGAGCAGCCGGCAUUCAGAGAAUACCGCUUCCUCCUCCUCCCGCACCAGAAACCUAUGAGGAAUAUGGCUAUGAUGAUGCAUACGCAGACCAGAGCUAUGAGGGGUAUGAAGGCUACUACAGCCAGGGCCAAGGGGACACAGAAUACUAUGAUUAUGGACACGGGGAAGCACAGGAAACCUAUGAAGCUUAUGGGCAAGAUGACUGGAACGGAACCCGGCCCUCCCUGAAGGCCCCGCCGGCCAGGCCAGUGAAGGGGGCCUACAGAGAGCACCCAUACGGACGUUAUUAAAAAAACAAACAUGAGGGAAAAAUAUCAGUUAUGAGCAAACAGUUGUUACUGAUUCUUGUAUCUCCCGGGAUUCCCGUUGCUUUACCCACACCAGACAAGAGUCAAGAGUUCGUCGCUGUGAAUCGCCUGGGGGCAGAUGAGCAGGGGCAACGCGAAGUGGGUAAGUUUGUUUAUUUUUGCCACCCCUUGCAAGCUGCUGACGUGUUCCGUGUGGGAGGGAGGGGGCGGCGGCACCAUCUGAGCUGCUAAAUUGAAGCCAUUCUUUAUAUACCCACAAAUAAAUUACUCCUGCGAAGGGCCGGUUACACGACUGACGCUCCUGCAGAGGUCACAGUGCGGAGGAGGCUUCGGUUUGUACCUGCGUAGAGCUCUCCCACCCAGAGCCCGUGGAGAAGGAGGUUGAAGUGGAUGUGAGAAGAGCGGGCAAUCAUGGAAUGGAAUCACAGAAUGGUUCGGGUGGGAAGGGACCUUAAAGGCCACCCAGUGCCACUCCCUGCCCUGGGCAGGGACACCUCCCACCAGCCCAGGUUGCUCCAAGCCCCGUCCAACCUGGCCUUGAACCCCUCCAGGGAUGGGGCAGCCACAGCUUCUCUGGGCAACCUGGGCCAGGGGCUCACCGCCCUCGCAGCCAAGAAUUUCUUCCUGAGAUCUCAUCUAAAUCUCCCCUCUUUCAGUUUAAAACUGCUGGACAGAAAAAAAGAGGGACACGCAUCCCACACCCCCGGCAAAACAAGGGGGCACCCAGAUGUGAUAAGGAGAUCUGUCUCUUGGAGCUGGUUCCCGACUGGGACGUUGGCCUUCAGGAGGGUGCUCUCAGCAGCAGGGGAGCGCUGAAGUGGUUGCCCCAUGCUCUAGAAACAGAGCAGCCCAAGGAAUGGCUCAACAGCAAUUCCUAUAGGAGUCCGUAAUGCGUUAGAAUUAUAGACCGCAGGUUUUAGAUCAGAUGCCGCCCAGCCAGACCCUUUUACCCCUUCCACACCCCCAUCCAUGGGCUCUGAAAUGUGAUCUGGCUGUUCUUUUUAUGGCUUUUUGUCUGAUGUCAUUGCCAGAGGUCCUGCCUGGACGUGUUUGGCUCAGAGCCCCACAGGGCUGCACGCCUGGUGACCACCCCGAGCCCUCGGGGAGGGGUGAGGGACCCCCAGCACCUUUGGGUGCCGGUGCCAGUCAGCACCCACGACCGCGGCGCUCCCUCUGGUGGCUGCUCCAGCCCCACCGACUUGCUUAUUUUCCAAGAAAUACCUUAAUAAACGCACACAAGCGCUUGCAGACCGAGCGGGAACUUGGCUGGGGAGAUAAUCGUGCAUCAGCGGAGUGACCUGCUUACUUGGCAAGGACACGGCUCCCCCCGGGCCCGCAGGCAGCAGCCGUAAGCGUUUCCUUUGGGGACAGCUAAUCGCUUUCUCUCAAAUCUCGAGAUCACUGAAAGUCUGAGCUCCAUAAAUAAAAGAACAAAGAAAUAAACCCUUGGAACCCUGAAGAAGCCUAAUGGCUUCAAAAGACAAGCGUGAAAAGCCCUGGGCAUAGGACAUAGAAGGACAUAAGUCUUAUUUUAUAUGGAAUUGUAAAGCUACUAAACGAGCUUCUCUUAUCUUAGGAGUAUUAGGAACAAGAAAGCGGUAAGAUGUGGAAAUGCUGCAACAGAGUGAGAUUACCCUCAGUUCUUUGACUUGAAAAUUGGAUCCGUAGUUCUCUGCUAGGGGAGAUCAUAACACGUCUGGAUUUGUGGCCUGUUUGUCGAAUGCAUCUUCAUUUACAAUGUAACUGGAUCAUCAAUUUAUAUGGUGGUGUACCAAUCUUUCCCAUUUCUUUCUUAAUAGGCACAGCUUUUAUAUCAAGUGGAAAAGAUUUGAUAGAGAUCAUCUAUUACGAUGCAGUUUUUUACCAGUAGAAGUGGAUCUUGUGGCACUGCCUUUGGAAUAACACAGCUUGCUUGUGCAUUGCGUUUGUUGCAUGUUUACGUGAAAGAUUUUAAUGUUAUGGAGGAAUGUAAAUCUUAAUACAUUGAAAAUAACUGUAUAUGCCAGAAGUAUUUUGAAAACAUGCCCUGUAUCAAACGUCUUCCUCCCUCUCAUAGCAUUACUGCGUUCAGGUUUUAGCCUCGAGCCUGCAAAAGCUAAUUUGAGAUCCCAAAAUAGCCAUCAGCAUCGGAUGUGUCUCUCAAAGAUGCUCUAAUUAGCCAGAUGUUCUGGGGGUGAUACGGGACUCACUGAAAUUUCCGAGGGGUAGAAAUUCCUUUGAGCACUCUGAAGUCUGAGUCACCUAAAUAACCCGAAUAACCUUCCCUCGGCCACUGCCCCCACGGGAGGUGGCAUUCUGCUGGCUGGGAGACGACAAGCGCCAGUGGUCCUUCGUCUCCUGGUCUCCCCAUAGGGCUCAUCCACGCCUUAUUGUUUGUAGGGGUUUGGUAAAGACCAUAAACAAGAUAAAGGUGCUCGGUGCUGUACAGCGUGAUGUGCAGCAGCGUCACGUCUCCUCUGGGGACGUGUUUCCCAACAAAACCGUUCUUUGCAGGAGAAGCUGGGCUCUAGAAACGUCCUGCUGCGGCCGAGCGCUCUGCCACCUUCUCUGGCCCUGGCUCUGGGUGGCCAAAGCUCCUUCAGCCAGUCCAGCCCUUUGGCGUAAGUUUUUGUGCUGGCCUUGCUUGGAGCUGGUACAAACCUGGGCUUUACGCUUUCACGGUGAGGUUUCACAGCGAUUCAUGGCCACUGUCGAAACUGAGCUUGCAGGGAAGCCGCUCCAGCUGGAAUUGCGGAGAUGUCCCCAGCAGCUUUCCCUGGAAGGAGACUGGCAUGCCCUGCCCAUUCCUUACCCCUGGUUUCGAAUUGCUGCUUGGAUUAUUAAACAAAGCAAAUGGCUACAAGCUUUAUUUUAUAACCUAGCAAUGGUAUCUUUAUGUUUAACUUAAAACACUGUGCUUUCAGUACAGCUGAGACAUUACCUUGAUGCAGCCCUCUGUAAAAUUGCGUGUUUGCUAAGUUGGGUUUUAGACCACAGCUGGAUUCCCUGUGCAGCUGUUAAAGCAGAUGAUUCUUUUUGUACAGAAUUGAGUUUUUAAAUUUGUAUGAGAGCAUCUGUCACGACCAGAGCCAAGAAAAGACAUUUCGGCGUGCGCGUCUCCCCUUCCUCAGCCCAUCCGCUGCUCUCCUGAAGAACUCCCGGGCUGGGGGCGAUCCCUGCAGCCUGUGACGGUCCCUCCCAAGGGCCCCAGAGGAGGAGGGACCGGCUGUGACCCAUCCGCUGGGAGACACCGGGGAGAAGGGGCAGCGCUGCUGACGCAGCUCUUCUCUCCACAAGUACGAACGGUGCUUCUGGGGACAGAGACAGGGCUUAGGGAAAUUCUUCUUUCAUUGAUAAAGCUGUGACGUCUUGGAUGAGACGUUGGACACUGCCCCCUUUGCGAGCUUUGAGGGGGAGGAAUUUCUGCAGGGCCCCUGGGAGCCCCCGUCUCGAACGGAGGCGUUGCUCCUCGUUUUCUGCUCGGGGAAGCUUAGUUCCUGUGAGCACGGAGCAGAAACCUUUGCUGUGGCUGCUCGGCCGAGCCUUCCAUUGCUGCCAUAUGUUUUAAUAGAAAUGUUUGUUUCCACACUCGUUUCGCCCCGUUUGCAAAGUGGGAUGCAUCUCCAACGGGCUGAUUUCCGAUCUGAUAAAGGAACCCGCGUUAAGAUGCCAUUGGCUUUGCUGUGGCUGGGAAAUAGGAACCUGCCGGCUCUUGGCGAGGGGUGGAGAAUGCCGGAGCCUCCCUCGACGCCGCAAACGCUGGAGAGCAACAACUGUGUGCUGGAGUACUGAAAUAUAAACUAUUUUCCGAGGAAGUUGUUAUUUUUACCUCUGGUUUUAGAACCAGAUACGACCAAAGGCUCGUAUGUGGUGUUACAGAUGCAAACCUGUUUUUAACCUGAGACGGGUACAUCCUGCCUGUUACCAUCGUAGUCGUACUUGGAGGAUUCUGUUAAAAUCUGUCCGGAUGCUCCUGUUGUUUGAUGGCUCUGCACAUUGUAGUUUCAAAACCAGUAAGAAAUUAAAGAUUGACCUUGUGAAAGUCCGUUAAUUGCAGACCUGGCCUUGCCUCCAGCCCGGGCGGGGCUGCUUCUCGGGAUUGUAUAAUGCUCCAUCUGUACUGAAGCAUCAGACACCCACAAGGUACGGAAAUCGAUGAAAAAUACGGCAAGUGGUUGGUAAAGCUGGUGAAAAACUGAUCAAGGUGAAUCACAGCAUUAAAAUAACUUGUAUAGGAAACUGGCAAGCUCUUCUGCGGCUGGCAUUUAGCAAGAAGUGUUCAACAGAUGUUGAAAAUGAUUAGUCAUCCCCCAUAAUAAAGGA